UGGGUGUCUCCGGAAGUGGUUGCUACGUGUAGGCCAGUGUAGCCGGAGUAGAAGCGGCGGCUCGAGCGGUAGCAUGAACCCCGAGCCGGACUUGUCGCCUCUCCCCUCAAACACAAUGCGGGUUCUGAAUGACAAGAUGUGAAGGUGAAGUAAAAAACAUUUGAAGAAACCAGCCUCGGUCACCAUGGAGAUGGAGGAUGAAAAGCUAGCAAAAACUAAUAAAAUGAAUUUAAAAAAAAAA